AGGAGGUUGAAGAAACGGCUCCUUUCUGAAUGACAGGACCCCUUUUCAAAGGGCAAACGGGGAGGGGGGAACUCCUAAUAUGAAUAGGAGAAUUUUCAGUGUUUCCCAGCUACUUCCCCUCCCCCUUGUAGAUAUUUUCCUUUCUUUUUUUUUCUCAUUUUUUCCUUUUCUUUUCUUUCAUCUGCCCCCCCCUUUUCUUUCCUUUUUGGUUAGAUUUGAAGUGCGUGCGCAAGCAUGUGUUGAUGUGUUUUCAAGAGAGUGAUCCCUUAACUUCCAAAAAAUCAUUUUGGGGUUGGAAAAAUUAUUGAAUCAUAUUAACGUGUUUUGUGGACUCACUGAUCAGAGUGGAUAAGGCAACGGAGAAUCAAGCUUUCAGAUAAGAAUCUUUAAAGAUGGUAUGCUUACAGAGGAAAGGAAGUGAAUAUCUUAGAAAGUUCUCCCUCUUACCAAUAAAACCCAUCACAUUUUUACCUCUUACUAGAAAAGAUACAGUGUCCUCAUUUCCUCAUUCAAAAGUUUCUAGAUUAAUAUUAAGUGCCUCUCUGAGAAAACAAGAGGGGUGAGCUUGUCUCACAUAGGUGUGUGUGUGUGUGUGUGUGUGUGUGUGUGUUUUAAGCCUGCUUUCAUAUAAUUUAACCUUAGAAACACUUUUAUCAUCUCCAUUCUCGACCUUUUUUUUUUUUUUAAUUGAAGGAUCAUGCCUUAGGAGAAAACCUUCUUGUAGAACAGAUGUAAACCCACAGUACCAGUUGUUUGUUGUUGUUGUUGUUGUUAUCAUGAUUAUGAUGGAUAUUAUGUCAUCCCCUCCUUUUUGCACUUGAUCUGAUGAGAGAACUUUUUUUUAAAGAGUGUGAAAUGAAGGACACAAAGACAAUAUAUCAAUGAAAAGAAGAAAGUGGCCCUUUUAAUGGGAGCUAAAGAAAACCCAAAUGUAGAUGAAGUGUACCGUAAAAGCUGCUUCAAAGUCUAUCUUAAUUCCCUUGGGCUCAGUCUUCAUGAACAUGUGGUAAUUGGGGGUUCUGCAGGGAGGUAAGGCAGCCACCGGGUGAGGAGUUACACAGCGAUGCCCUGUCGUGUAGUUCCAGAUAACAUUUUAACUGAGAACUUGGAGAUGCUACAGAACCCAGAUUUAGCUACCCAUCCCCAACACUUCCUGCCCAUUAAUUUUUCCCAUUCCUUGGUCACUUUGCUUACUAGGGGAACUCAUCCUGUGUCCCACCUCACCAGCCCGCAACUCAGCAGGUCGGUAUAUGCUGGGCCAUAUUCUAAGGUUUUUACUAUUAUUUUGUGAUCAACUCUGGUUAAUUUUUUAUUUAUUUUUAGACCUCAGUCCUUUUGGAUCACAGAAGUCCCCACAAGUAACACAGCAAUAAAUCUGAACAAAAAUAAGACAGAUUUCCUCAUCGAUGUGUAAUAAAGUUAAAGGACAUUGUUUUGUCAGACAAGCGCUAAGUAGAAAAUAAAUCUCAGAGUCUGGGGAAACAAAACGGAGCGCUGCUGGCAUGUGUGUAAAUUUACUUUUAAAAGCAAUAAAUCAAUGUUAAAUUAAACAGCUGGGUACCCUGUCUAGGAGAAGAUUCCAUGUUAAAGAAGACCUUGAUGGGAGAAAUGAGCUACUUAACAAGACUCACAUAUACAUCCAAAGUUAGAUUUUUAUUGCAAUUCAGAAGCAAGAAUAACCUGGAAACUUUUCCUCUGAACUUUAGACAGGAAGAGGGCAAGGAGAGGAAGUUAGAAUUUUAUCUACUGUCCAUCCUGAGGUUUUUGUACUUGUUUUCAGGCACAUGGAGAGAAGAUUUUAUAGAAAUGUUUUAGAUGUUUUCUAAAUUGUCAGUUAAGAUCCAGAGUCCUUUAUUUAUUGACUAAGGUUUGUUGGGUGGGUUGUGAUUUUCGUUGAUUUUUUUUUCUGUAAAUACUAUAACCUGUGCAGAUGCUUUAAUGAGCUUAUUGAGUGUAUUCUUAUCUGAUGGUUCUUUUAUUCGUCAUGUGGUUGUUUUGGACAGUAAAUAACAUAGUAAAAAAAAUAAAGAGAAAUGUUAUUUCAUAUCUAUUAUAAAUAUUCUCAUUGAGAAACAAACCUGAGAUUGAGCAGCAUUUAAAGCUAAUUGAAAUAUUUUAAUAUUUUAUUUUUAAAGUUUUUUUAACAUAGUUCUUUACAGGAAAAAAUUGUAGUAGAUGAGGGCAGAGGAGGGAGAGAGAACAAUAGAAAACCCAAGCGCUGGCUCUGUUCUAAAAACAAUGUGAAUCAAUGAGCUAUUACAGAGGCAAUAUUCAAUAGCAGGAAAAUAGGAGUAAUUUAAGAUUAACACAUACAUACAAUGCAUUUUUCCAGCUUUAAAAUGAAAUUCCAGUAAGAUUAAUAGUUCUUUAGAAAGCAGAAAUAUUAUUGAGAUCAACUUUCUUAUUCUUUUGAAUUCAGAUUGACUGAUUUAAAAGAAAAAUGUGGGGCACUUGCCUAUACAGAAAGCAGAUUAUUCUUUACUUUCUUCAUAUCGAAACCCAGAAGCUUUAUUUUGUAGUUAUAUUGUUAACCCACUUCCAAAGAAUAUUCAUUUAAUUAGGUAACAUCAUUAAAACUUUAAAAAUGGAAAAAGUGUUGUUUAGCCCUUUGAGCUAUAAACUAACAGGGGUAUUUGGCAGCAUCCUAACUACCUUUGACUUUCUUUCAGCCAAAAGAAAUAUCAAAGACUAGGUUGCCUGGAGAAGAAUAAAGUUAUACUGUUUAUAUUUAGGAGACAGCUUUCAGUUUCCAUGACCAUUCAUGGCUUGUUAAGUAAAUCUCUGUCUUAUGCCACUCAGAGAUAGCUCAGAGUGCCUGUCGGGAGCAGUCUGGGCAGCCUUAUAAACUCAGAAUGACUUCUCAACCUCUGCUAGGUUUUCCCGGCAAUGCGCUUUCCUCUGCGCUGAAGCCCUGGGAGCUGUAUCAGCCCAAGAUUCAAUUUUGAGGAAUUUUCACCUAGAGGAAUCCAAGACCUUCAGUUCCAACAGCAUUUCUGGUCAGGUAGUGUCAUACAAACUGAAAUGGAGAUACAAUCCUGAUAGAAGAUUACACAAGAUACCUAGCACACUGACAAAUGGUUGAUCUGCAUACUUCAAUAAAGUCUACAAUAUCAGAAGUUGUUAAAUUUGAAGGUGUAGCCAGGCAUGGUGAUUCAUGUCUGUAAUCCAGACUGGUUGGCUGGACAUGAAAAUAAACGAUCACUUAAACUUUAAACAGGAAGAAAAAAGAAAUAGCUGGGAAAGAAAUGAUUAAAUGUAGAAGUCUGAAGAAAGAAAUGUUAUAUAGUAAAUCUUGUUGUUUAAAUGGAAAGAACUAGUUAGUAUUUUGAUACAUUAGUAAAUACUGGCUAUGAUGUUAGUAACUGAGGAAAAGCUGAGUGAGUCCUGAUCAAUACCAAUUUAUCUAUUUCCUUCCACAGGUGAGUCUAAGUUAUGUUGAGAAUUAUCUCCAAAUUAUAGGAGAGUAUUUUCUAUUGAUAAAGUAUUGUAUCUUUAUCAGUCUUCUACACAACAAUCAAAAAAUUCCAAUUUCCUUCCUAUAUCUGGCUUGAGUACAGAAAUGUUCCUUAUUUUAAAAAUGAUGGGACAGAGAACAAUAUGAAUUUAAGGGUUAAAUACAUUUUGGCAGUAGUCUUGAAAAAAGAGUGAUAGAAAUGUUGCUGUAUGCAACAUUCUAUUCUAAUGCAUACAAAAUAUUUCUUAAUAUAAUGAGGAAAAACAAUCAAGGAUAAUGGUCAAGGAACGCCUAAAAACCAAUAACCACACAAUUAGUCCAGAACUAAACUGUGCUUAAAUAGGAAGAAAAGAGAAUUUUAAAGCUCCAUAUUUAUACUUAAAGUAUGACUUAUAAACAUGAUUUGGGCAUUGUCAAUUUGUUAUUUUAAAAAUAAGUUAGAAAAUUGUAAUAUAGCAAGUCAAUUUGAUUUGACUCAAUCAUAUCUCCAGAAGUUUAAAAGUUGACCAUGGAUAUUAUCCUUAGUCUGUUUCAUUUCUACUUGGUCUAUUUUUAAUGUUAGCCACUGCAGAAAUCAAAGCAAUUCACACCAAACCAAAUCAAAACUCUUUUUGCUCAAUAUGCAGGAAACACAGUUAUUAUUAGCUAAUGAAAUGAAGUGCAAUUUUUUUCCAAUAUCAUUUGCUCAAAGAAAGGUUUCAAAAUUAAUAGAAUAUCUUUUAUUUUCUUCUAUUUCCAUUAAGUUUUCCUACUUUAUGAUAUGCAAAAUAUAUAUGUAUAUAUAUGUCUUGUAGAAUCUACAUUUCAAGUGUGAGGAAAUUUUAAAUGAAAUAAUUUAAAAUGGAAUGUUUUUAAGCAGUACUGCUCGCUGACAUUGAUGGUUUUGUUUGGGAUACAGAAUAUAAAACCAUUUCCUCAAGAUAUUUUGUGUUCAACAUAAAAUAUUUAAAAUGUCUCAUUUCCAAGAGAUCUGGUGGGAGUUCAUGACAGAUGUGUUAUUUCUUUUUCAUUUUCUUUUUUAACAGCAUUAUUGUGUCUAAUUAGCACUGAUGAUUUACCCAUGGCAGCAUGAACUUCUUGAGAGGAAAGGAAAGUAGAUCAGUUUCUUUGGAGAAAAAAAACAAACUGGGAUAAGAUGAAAAAAAGGAAUUUAAAAAUGUAUUUUCCAGCAAAUGCCUACAAACAGCCCAUAGAGAGUUCACUUGUUUAUGCAUCACAUAUGAUCAAUCCUAUUGCCUUUGGUCUCAAACAGAGAAAGCCUCAGUACAAAGCAUUCUCCAGGUGUUAGUUUAGGUUUGUCAUUAUUUCCUAUUCAUAGACUCUGUCUAGUAAAAGAAGACAAAUUACUGUAAGUGGGGGUAAAUGUGAUUAAAUGAGUCCUCUGAAGAUAAGAGGGUACAUGGACAAGGGUCAUUAACACAAGUGACCUUUUUUUGCCCAGACCAUAUUUUUAUUUAGAGGAAUUGAAAACACUGCAAAGCAGGAAUAAUUUCUACCACACAUAACAAAAGACAAAUGUAUCUCCUUCAUUUCAAGAAACAUCUUCAUGCCUUUGUAGUAUUUUAAUAAUAUACAGAUACUGCCAAAAUAUUCCCAGAAUACACCAAGAACAAUAUUGGAGAAAUUCUUUAUCCUGAGGAGUCUAAUCAGAAACAAGAGACAAGAUUAUCCUCAGACUAGUGAGGAAGCCUAGAAUGUAAGUUAGUGGACAGCAAGAUCACAAUCAAAUGAAAACUUUAAAUUUAUAAAGUUUCAAUUAAAACAUCUACACUCUUUCUUUCACCUGAUUGUAGCCCAUAUGGCAAGGUCAGCCCUUUCAGUGAACAAACAGCUCAGUCGCCUCCAGUGUAGCUGUUAUCUUCCUCAACAAGGGGAGACAUUUGGCACAGCCUAAAGCUGGGGCAUGAACCCUGGCUAAGCUUAAGACAUUUAUCUGACAGCAUCAGCUGACACUCCACAAACACAUUUGCUCUCCAUGACCUCAGAGCAUUCGUGAUUAAUCAAAAAUGUAUCUUGGAUCUUGAGAACAAGCUACAACCAGGCAUACACAAAAAAGAAUAUGCUCUCGAUCUUGCUUAUCGACUCAAGAGGUAUAUUGAAUUUAGAAAUAGCAAAUAGAAUAAAAUGAUCAAUAUUUUCUCACUUGUCUAUGGAAGAGCAAACUUUAUCCCUCAGGCAAAAGACAUUGAUCAUGUAAAUGUUUCAGAACUGCUUUCAAACUAAAGAAUGCAAAAUGCACAUGGUGUAUUGGGGGUGGGGAAGGAGGCCUGUCAAACAGCAGCUUUUGCUUUAAGUAAAAAAAAGUAUGGCUUAAAGACAUAAAGUAUUAUAUUUGUAAUAUGUUGUACAUUUAGUAAAUUGUAUGUUCAACCUAGAACCUUUUUUAAAUAACAUGUUGCCAAAUAAUCUUAAUAAAACAUUAUGAAGGAAACUUUAAA